GCUCCAAUUGGAGAGACAAGCUGGUGGGCUAAAGACAGUGCCUUAAAAAAGGUUUUUGGAGGCACAGGUCAAGGCACAAGGAUACAUUGAGGGGUUGCUGAAGUAUGAAACAAUACUUACAGCUCAGACAUUCCUCAGAAAAUUUCAGGUCACAUCACCAGUCUCAAAAUAUCUUCAAACAAGUGGAAUGGACAUUCUGUCUGCGCAUCGUAUGUUUGUGUCUAUAGAGGAGCAGCUGAAAGGAAUGGCAAGAGAUUUUGAAAAAAAUCAAGGCAGCUGCAGACACAUUUGUUCAGUGGGCCAACAGGAAGUUGCAGGAAUGGGAUGAGGAAACAGAGCUGGAGUUAGAGACCACUCAGCCAACAAAAAGGGCUCGAAAGAAGAAAACUAUGGCACAAGAUGAAUAUUUUACUGGGGCAGAGAGUGCAUACGGGAUUGGUGUCCAUAAUCAAAUUCUGGAUACAGUUAUAGAUAGCCUCCCAUCUGCGAUUUCUGAGUAAUGGCACUUUGUAUGCCGACAUGGCUCUUCUGGACCCUAAAAAUGUAGUCAGCUACCAUCCAGUGCCAGUGACCUUCCACACACAGCCCUUCAAGAACUAAGCAAAUGUUUGAUCAAAUUUGACAGCAGAGCAACGGUGGCCAAUUUACAGAGUGAGCUCAUGAGUCUGGCAGAACAGUGGACUAGGUUAAAACAAUCGGGAUUUGAAGAACAAACACCCAGGACUAUGGAGGAUCAUGAACCUGAAGGAAAUGAAGAUGAGGUGGAGAUGGUGACUGUCCAGUGUGUUGCUACCGUAUUCUUAGUCAGUACAACCUAUUGACCGACGCAUACCACAUUCUGGGCCUUGCUUACAAGUUUCUACUUACCCUGUCAGUAAUCCAGGUAGCUUGUGAGUGGAGCUUCUCUACUCUGAAAUUCAUCAAGAGUAGGCUCAGGAGCACUCUAUCUCAACAGCACCUGGAGGCUUUUAUGCUCAUGGCUACUGAGCGAGAUGUUUUAACGAACCUGGACAGUGACCUGGUUAUAGAUGGCAUUGCUGAGAGAAGUGAGCUGCUGCAGAAAUUGCUAAUUUGAGCAUUAUGAAAACCCCCAGCGCCAUAUAUCACUCUGGGAUGGAAGGCGAGAUGUGUCCGGGCGUCUUACAGAUGCUCGUUCCUGUAGGCUCAUCAGCUUUACGACGCUACGUGGAUGUUAUGGAUCUGAUGCACAAUUGAAAGCAUCCUGUCGGGCUGUAUCACCGCCUGCUACGGCAACUGCACAGCCCGCAACCACAAAGCUCUCCAGAGGGUGAUGGGGUCUGCCCAACACAUUACAGGGGGAAAACUACCUGCCCUCCAGGACAACUAUAGCACCCGUUGUCACAGGAAGGCCAAAAAGAUCAUCAAGGACAUCAACCACCCGAGCCACUGCUGGUUCACCCCGCUAUCAUCCAGAAAGCGAGGUCACCAGGCUGCUCGUUAUGGCGCACACCUGUCACCAUCGUUAAGCGCACCUGCGCGUCGUCAGACUCACCUGGACUCCAUCCCUUCCCUGAUUACCUUCCCUAUAUAUGUCAAUCCCUUUGGUUCCAUCCCCAGGCGUUUCUGUUUCAGUUUCAUGUCGGUGUGAUGUUAGUGUUUCUUGUUUUGUAUUAUGCUCCGUUUAUUUUAUUAAAACGCUUUUAUAUAUCGUUACAAUUAACAACAAAUCCUAUUUUACCGUAAUGACUGCUUAAUCAAGAAGUGAACAGAAUGGAAAACAAUUGAGAGUAUUGUACAUUUUAAAAAAGCUGCACUAUUUCUUGAGUGAUCUAGGCUACCACAUUAUUACACUGAACAAAAAUAUAAACCCAACAUUUUCAAAGAUUUUACUCUUACACUUCAUAUAAGGAAAUCAGUCAAUUGAAAUACAUUCAUUAGGCCCAAAUCAUUUCACAAUACUGGGAAUACAGUAAAAAAAAAGGUAGGGUUUGGAUCAGAAAACCAGCGCAACACAUCUCUUUCGCAUAGAGUUGAUCAGGCUGUUGAUUGUGGAAUGUUGUCCCACUCCUCUGUUGCGUUUAUAUUUUUGUUUGGUCUAAAUGGAAUGCAUAUUCACAGCUAAUGCAUAUGUGCUACACUAUUAAGUGUUUGUGAAUGAUCUUAAGCAGUAAUAAAAUGGUACCUGGCUGCAUUGACA